ACAGAGGCAGCUUCAGAGUUUUUUCAGAAGGUUUUUCAUUGCUUUAUUUCUCGUAGCAUCAUCGCAACCUUCAUUAGAGGGUACCUAUAGGGGACUUGAACCCCUCGGACCCAUCUGGAGCAUGCAUGCUACGUCAACCAGGAUACCCUUUGGUGCUUUAGAUCAAACCCAUGGUCCAGAUCGACCUCUUAAUAUCACCUUCUCACUCCUAAACGGCCAUGUAGGCAAGGAUCAGACACGAGAUGACGUCAUGGCUGAUGAUUGUGACAUCCUCAGAGGAUUCAUGGCUGGUAACAUCGAAAGGAUACGAGUCAAGGAAGGCCCAAUAGAAGGGACGUUAUACGUACCAACAGAUAGAGGUUCUAAGCCCCUCCCUGCGAUUCUCGAUUUUCGUGGAGCAGAAGAAAGUCAUCGUGAACAUCUAGCAGCUCUGCUUGCUUCUCAUGGUUAUGUUACCAUGACAACAAGAUUCCCACUCCAAACUGAUAUUAUCAACAUAAACUGUCUUGAGCAAUUGUUCCAUCGAUUAGCCACUCAUCGCAUGGUUGAUGAGAGUCGAAUCGGUGUUUUAUCUCGGGUGAUGGUGUUGCCGUUGGUCUUGGUUUCGCUGCUCAUCUUAACCAUCUUCCACUGCAGUGUCUUGUAGGAGUCAAUGGAGUCAGCUUCAAUACCAGCUUUGGCUGGAUUCUUCCCGAUGGUAGUAAAACCACUUUCUACCCGUACUACGAGAGGGCUAAAUCUUACAAACCAACCACAGGCUCUGUCAAACUUUGUUCUCAAUUUGAUCCAUACAGGAUCGAAUCAGUCUUGAAUAAAACACCAGACUGUUUCGUGCCGGUUGAAAACAUUUCCAUUCCUUUGAUGAUGUUCAGUGCCCGAGGAAACCCUUACUUGCCGACGCAGUACAGUAUGGAUGAGAUGAGGUCACGAUUUCGCCAUAGUGGGAGGAAUGAUCAGUUGGAGUUGAUUGAAUACUCGGACUCUGGUCAUCUACUUGACCCUACCUAUACAUCUCACAUCCAAGCAUCUUAUGGAACUAUACCAAACACGACAGAUGGGAUGCGGAUAGCAUGGGGAGGACAGUCAACAGCGCAUGCACGAUCUCAGAGGGACAUGUGGGAUCGAACUUUGGGUUUCUUUAAACGAUAUCUCCAAGACUGAUUUAUUUUUACAGAUAUAUCAAUCUAUUUACAUUCCAACUCAUAUUUGAUAUUGUUUGAAACGUUACAUUGCUGUAAGUAAAAUAUGAAAUAUAACACUUCGUAUCAUAGAAGCAAGUAACCAAGUAAUAAAGAUGAAAUCCAGUGCUUUAUUUCUUUAUCAGUUCGUCAUGUAAUUUCCUGAUCCAUUAGACAUGUCAACAUCUUGUGAUUUGUCUCAUUAAAAGUUUGAUGUAGUAAAAGGUA